rnacentral:ncRNA from 6 species
AGAGCAUUGAGAGGACCUUUCCCUAGUACGAGAGGACCGGGAAGGACGCACCUCUGGUGUACCAGUUAUCGUGCCUACGGUAAACGCUGGGUAGCCAAGUGCGGAGAGGAUAACUGCUGAAAGCAUAUAAGUAGUAAGCCCACCCCAAGAUGAGUGCUCU